rnacentral:rRNA from 1 species
AGUGAACGCUGGCGGUAGGCCUAACACAUGCAAGUCGAACGGCAGCACAGUAAGAGCUUGCUCUUACGGGUGGCGAGUGGCGGACGGGUGAGGAAUACAUCGGAAUCUACUUUUUCGUGGGGGAUAACGUAGGGAAACUUACGCUAAUACCGCAUACGACCUACGGGUGAAAGCAGGGGAUCUUCGGACCUUGCGCGAUUGAAUGAGCCGAUGUCGGAUUAGCUAGUUGGCGGGGUAAAGGCCCACCAAGGCGACGAUCCGUAGCUGGUCUGAGAGGAUGAUCAGCUACACUGGAACUGAGACACGGUCCAGACUCCUACGGUAGGCGGCAGUGGGGAAUCUUGGACAAUGGGCGCAAGCCUGAUCCAGCCAUACCGCGUGGGUGAAGAAGGCCUUAGGGUUGUAAAGCCCUUUUGUUGGGAAAGAAAAGCAGCAGGUUAAUACCCCGCUGUUCUGACGGUACCCAAAGAAUAAGCACCGGCUAACUUCGUG